GGAGGAGUGCCGGAGCGGUUGAACGGGGCCGCCUUGAAAGCGGUUAGUCCGAAAGGACUCGGGGGUUCGAAUCCCUCCUCCUCCGCCA
rnacentral:tRNA from 1 species